CCUACGGGCGGCAGCAGUGAGGAAUAUUGGUCAAUGGACGAGAGUCUGAACCAGCCAAGUAGCGUGAAGGAUGACUGCCCUAUGGGUUGUAAACUUCUUUUAUAUGGGAAUAAAACGUUCCACGUGUGGGAUUUUGUAUGUACCAUAUGAAUAAGGAUCGGCUAACUCCGUGCCAGCAGCCGCGGUAAUACGGAGGUUCCGAGCGUUAUCCGGAUUUAUUGGGUUUAAAGGGAGCGUAGGUGGAUUGUUAAGUCAGUUGUGAAAGUUUGCGGCUCAACCGUAAAAUUGCAGUUGAAACUGGCAGUCUUGAGUACAGUAGAGGUGGGCGGAAUUCGUGGUGUAGCGGUGAAAUGCUUAGAGAUCACGAAGAACUCCGAUUGCGAAGGCAGUUCACUGGACUGCAACUGACACUGAGGCUCGAAAGUGUGGGUAUCAAACAGGAUUAGAUACCCGAGUAGUC
rnacentral:rRNA from 1 species